rnacentral:misc_RNA from 1 species
GAAAUGCGAUAAGUAGUGUGAAUUGCAGAAUUCAGUGAAUCAUCGAAUCUUUGAACGCACAUUGCGCCCCUUGGUAUUCCAUGGGGCAUGCCUGUUCGAGCGUCAUUUGUACCCUCAAGCUCUGCUUGGUGUUGGGUGUUUGUCCCGUCUCCGCGCGUGGACUCGCCCCAAAGUGAUUGGCAGCCGGCGUACUGGUCCCGGAGCGCAGCACAUGUCGCGCAAACGAGUGCCUUGGUACGGCGGCGUCCAUAAGCCCCUCUCUCACGCUCUUGACCUCGGAUCAGGUAGGGAUACCCUCUGAACUUAAGC